rnacentral:rRNA from 1 species
UACAUGGGGUGCAAACGUUGCUCGGAAUCAUUGGGCGUAAAGCGCGCGUAGGCGGUUAUCUAAGUCGGAUGUGAAAGCCCUCGGCUUAACUGAGGAAGUGCAUCCGAAACUGAAUAGCUAGAGUACGAAAGAGGGUCGCGGAAUUCCCGGUGUAGAGGUGAAAUUCGUAGAUAUCGGGAGGAACACCGGUGGCGAAGGCGGCAUCCUGGACCGACACUGACGCUGAUGAGCGAAAGCCAGGGGAGCAAACGGG